rnacentral:misc_RNA from 1 species
GAUGAAGAACGUAGCGAAAUUCGAUACGUAGUGUGAAUUGCAGAAUUCAGUGAAUCAUCGAAUCUUUGAACGCACAUUGCACCUCUCGGUAUUCCGGGAGGUAUGCCUGUUCGAGCGUCAUUUGUACCCUCAAGCUCUGCUUGGUGUUGGGUGUUUGUUCCGCCUCUGUGUGUGAACUCGCCUCAAAACAAUUGGCAGCCGGCGUACUUGUUUCGGAGCGCAGCACAUUUUGCGAUCCAGAUCAACGUACAGCGGCAUCCAAGAAGCCUUAUUUAACGCUCUUGACCUCGGAUCAGGUAGGGAUACCCGCUGAACUUAAGCAUAUCAAUAAGCGGAGGA